GCCGGAAUAGCUCAGCUGGGAGAGCAACAGACUGAAGUUCACCGUUUGGUAAGAACAUGCUCGAAUUCUGGAGGUCCUGUGUUCAAUCCACAGUUCUGGCA